ACUCUUUCCUCUUCUGCCCCAUGGAUCCACAUCCCCCUCAAAGUGGAGAGAAGAAGGAAAGACCACUGUUGCUCCCUACUGAUCCUUGAGUUCUUCUUUGAUAUGAUCUCCCUAGAGCUUCUGGUGCACAAAUCUUUCAUUGUAGCCUAAUCACUAAUAUAUUUUCCUGAACCUCAAGGAGUGAAACAAAAACCUUGUUGAAAGUCGAGGCUCCUUCCCCUGUUCAUCGCUACUCGAGCACACAGUCUGUGCACUGGCUGCGCACUGGGCAGUGCUGACAGCAGCAUCGUCUCAUGCAUUUUUCCUGCUGAGGACAUUGCCCCUGGAGGAUGGUGCCCACCCUUACAAAGAAUUGGCUUGGGACUGACAGGUAAGCAUGUCCUCAGCAAGCCUUUCCAAAUCUCUACCUGGCCAGAAGCUUGUAGUUGGUGUGAUAUAUGAAAAAAGCAGAAUUCCAGUUAUGGGCCCACUCUCACAUUUCUUUCUCUGUAAGAGUGGGUCCCCCAGUCUGAUGGCUGUUAUGUGGGAUCCCAUGUUGAUGGAUCAAACACUCCAUAAGCUCUUGGAUAGCAGUGCUGGC